rnacentral:rRNA from 1 species
AGGGUUUGAUCAUGGCUCAGGAUGAACGCUGGCGGCGUGCCUAACACAUGCAAGUCGAACGAAGCACUUAUGAGGAUUCCUUCGGGAUGAAGCAUUUGUGACUUAGUGGCGGACGGGUGAGUAACGCGUGGGUAACCUGCCUUAUACAGGGGGAUAACAGUUAGAAAUGACUGCUAAUACCGCAUAAGCGCACAGUCUCGCAUGGGACAGUGUGAAAAACUAUGGUGGUAUAAGAUGGACCCGCGUCUGAUUAGCUAGUUGGUGGGGUAAAGGCCUACCAAGGCGACGAUCAGUAGCCGACCUGAGAGGGUGAUCGGCCACAUUGGGACUGAGACACGGCCCAA